UGUGAAAGCCCCCUGCUAAACGGGGGGAGGUCAGGCGAAACUGCCAAACUAGAGGGCUGGAGAGGGAAGCGGAACUGUCGGAGUAGCGGUGAAAUGCGUAGAUACCAACAGGAACCUCGAUAGCGAAGGCAGCUUCCUGGCCAGUUCCUGACGCUGAGGCGCGAAAGCGUGGGGAGCAAACCGGAUUAGAUACCCGGGUAGUCCACGCCCCAAACGAUGUCGGUUAGGUGUUGGUCUCUUAAUAGAAAGACCAGUGCCGCAGUUAACGCGUUAAACCGACCGCCUGGGGACUACGGCCGCAAGGCUAAAACUCAAGGGAAUUGACGGGGGCCUGCACAAGCGGUGGAGCACGUGGUUUAAUUCGAUGAUAAGCGAAGAACCUUACCUGGGCUUGACGUGCACGUGGUAGGAGUCCGAAAGGAUGACGACCUGACUCGUAAGAGUCAGGAGCGUGCACAGGUGCUGCAUGGCUGUCGUCAGCUCGUGUCGUGGGACCGUCGGGUUAAGUCCCGUAACGAGCGCAACCCCUGCGCCUAGUUGCCAGCACUUCGGGUGGGGACUCUAGGGGGACUGCCGGUGAAUAGCCGGAGGAAGGAGGGGACGACGUCAAGUCAGUAUGGCCCUUAUGUCCAGGGCGACACACGUGCUACAUUGGAUGGUACAAAGGGUCGCCAACCCGCAAGGGGGAGCCAAUCCCAAAAAGCCAUCCUCGGUUCGGAUUGUGGUCUGCAACUCGACCGCAUGAAGGCGG
rnacentral:rRNA from 1 species